UGUGCGUGUCGUCUUCCGUUCGACAGUAGAUCUCAGAUGGGUUGAGACAGCCCCCAAGUGGACUGAGUGGGGCGAAGGACAAGCCACCAAAUCUGCAAACAGGACUGUGGAACUGUGAGAAAAUAGUGUAGAAUUAAGGUGCCAUUUGGCAUAUGAGGAAGUUUCUGAUGAAAAACUCCCAUGGAAAAGUGAUAUUUGAGGUUCAUCUUUGCCUGGACAAGGCCCAGUUCCCUCUGCUUUGCUUCCCGCAUUGCUUACUGACCCAGAUCUGCACCGCUCCCGAUGCCCUCCUGCCCCGCCUGCAGCCAGCACUGAGUCAACAAGCAAAAUCUCACAUGUAAUAUUCUGAGAUUCAACCCUCAGGUAAUAAUUCUCCUGCAUUUAGUCCUUCAUAUCCUUUGGUUCACAGAGACGUUGAGUCUAAUGCCUUGAAAUGGCUGACCUAAAUAAUAUCCCUAGAUUUUUGAAGAUAAUAUAAAGUUUAUUUUAGUAACAAUCGUGAGUCAUCACAGAAGCUAAUGAACUUGGGAAUUCUAUAUAAAAUCAUCCAAGCAUAUAAAGCCUAUUUUCCAAGGUUCCUUUUUCUCAGUUCAAGGCCACAAAAAUUGGAACGUGAUAGAACUUGACUCCUACAUUUGCCAUAUGUCUAAAUAAUAUGAGGUAUAAAUGAAGCCAGCAAAGUGUUAAAUAAAACAUGCUCUGUUCUCCUACCUUGACAAAUAUACCACAGUAAUGACCUAUAAAGGCCAAGGUUGAAGUUAGAAUUCUCAGACUCCUUGGUGGUCUGUACAGGAAUGUGGUAGCAGAGGGAAAGCUGGCCCCAACCCUGGGCCAAUCGCCUUCCCCUUCACCCGAGCCCUGUUCUCACAUGAGGGGCCUUGCAUCCCCUGUGUGGACUUCCUAAGCCCCAUUCUAGCUCCAUCCACACAUCCUCACCCCAUUCAGACAGCAGCACUUUGGGUACCGUUUGGCUAAGCAGCCUGCCUUUGAAGAUAGAAGAAACUAUGCAGGCUCACAGCCAUUUGAGGAGGGUCCUCAGUAUGCAGUCUGUUCCAGAAGAGAGGGCACAAGCUCUGGGUGGGAAGCGGUGCAGUGCGGGGAAGGCCGGAGAGGCACGUUCUAAAGCACAAGGUCUAGGCAGGGGCCUUCUUGCCCAAAUCAACUGCUCAGCCAACAGUGGUACAUCAUGGGCUCUCAGCCCUUUCAUUUCAGUCUCAGCCACAGUGAACCGUUCCGUGGAAGCACAGACUUUCCUUGUGCUGUCAGCAUCUUACCUCAAGCUCAAGCUCAAGCCAGACUUUCUGCCCCAAGGUCAUCUCCAACACACACAAAUGCAGCCCGGAAAUACCAGGAAGUUCACAGCCUAGGAGGAAACCUCAACUAGUCCAGGUCAGAAGCAGGUGGGCAAAGCUUUCCAUUUUUUUCAGGUGGACAAUUCUGAACAGCUUUCCCUGGGCUUCUUUUGAGAUCCCGGUGGAAACAAGCCCACCGCUCACAGCAGCAACCUCAGCAGCCCACCCUGGUCUCAGCUUUUCCUCCUUCCCUGUCUCACUGUCUUGCUUCCUGGUAUCACCACCCAAAUAAACUACCCACACCCCUCAGGCUCUGCUUUGGGGGUACUCAGAGGAAUAAAGGGACAAAUCCAGAAAAGAGAAGGACCAGCCCCUUCCAAGAACAAUCACAUCAUCGACACAAUCUCACUGGUGACCUUUACCAACGAUCAUGUAAGCACGUUUCCUAAGGGGAAAGUGUCCUCGACAUUUAUAUUACAACCUAAAUUCUUACUAAAGAGGUCUUUUGUUUGGUUUUAUUUUUCUUGGAGGGGGUGGUCCCUUUGCUCUUUCCUCUACCUCAGUGUCUAAAUUCCUCAUGUGACGCCUCACUUUCCUGGUUAAAAUUUCCCCGAAUUGACUGUGGCCUGUUGGGAGACAGGAUGGAAGGAGCUGCUUAUGGAAAAUGAACAAGAAGGGGGAGCAGACCAAAGGCGAAAAGCUGCGACUAAUUUUGACAUCAAAGAUGCCAAUGAGGGGCUUCCCUGGUGGCGCAGUGGUUGAGAGUCCGCCUGCCGAUGCAGGGGACACGGGUUCGUGCCCUGGUCCGGGAGGAUCCCACAUGCCGCGGAGCGGCUUGGCCCGUGAGCCAUGGCCGCUGAGCCUGCGCGUCCGGAGCCUGGGCUCCGCAACGGGAGAGGCCACAACAGUGAGAGGCCCGCGUACCGCACAAAAAAAAAAAGAAAAAAGAUGCCAAUGAACAUGACAAAGUGCAAACAGCACUUUUUUCAGCUGACCAUCAUGCUGAAGACUGUGGACUCCAGUUUUUCCUGGACAGUCCCAUUUCAAAUUUUUGACAUGAGAUUUGGAAACACAUUCCUCUUGUCAGACCAUUGUCCAGAUUUAAGCUUCAGAAAAUAGGGUCCCAGACCAUCCACGGCCGUGGCCAGGCGAGGGGCUACUUGCUGUCGCCUGGGUACCUUGUGUGAAUCUGGGGCCUCCUAUGGGGCAUGUAGCAUCCAGGUCCUGGGUGCCCAUGAGAAGGGGCUCUUUGACAAGGCCAGUCAACACCUCUUCUUGCACAGCCUGGCCCUGUUAGGUGUGCGCCACUGCAGAAAGCCCCUCUGGGCCGGGUUAUUACCAGCCUCUAGAACCACCUUAUUCUGCACCAGCUUUUAUUAAUGGCUCUGAGUGGAGACCCCUUUGCCCAGACUUUGGCCCCCGUGGGAGGGAGCCUGCUACCUGGGGCUGGCUUGCCUUGACUCUUUGACAGCUUACUUCUGUUCAAUUUCCGGCAAUUUUUUGAGUUGGAGCAGGCAGAGGAUUAAAAGAGAAAAGCAAAUUAAAAAAAAAAGAAAAAGCAAAAGAAAAUAGGGUCACCAUGCAAUAGGAGGCCUAGUUAGGGUCAUGGGGCUCUUCUUCCUCACAUCCUGAUUCUGCCCUGAGGCCUUCAGCCACUCCUGACCUGAAGGUGAACCUGAUCACCUCCUAUUUCCAUCCACAUUUCAAAACCAAAAAUGGGGUGGGUGGCAGAGAGAAGAUCAACCUGGGAAACCAGUCGUCUUAGAGCCGGAAGCAACCUUUGACUAAUCCCUCACUUAAAACAUGAGAUUCUGUCAUCGGAUUAUAGUCUAAGGUAAUGUAUUGGAGUUUUCUAUAGAUUUGGAAAAAAGAAUCCUAAAACCUGAAAUGGUUGCACAUUGCUAUUUAAUAACAUUUUCUACAAGCAAGGGGCUAUUUUGUACAGACUGGUGUGGAGGGAUCCUGCAAGGUGUAACCGGAGGGAAUUGAUUUCAUUACCUGUGCUGCCCCCUAGUGGUGGAGGUAAAAAGGCACACCCAGGACAGGACACAGGCAUUAGGGCCUCCAGGAAACAGACAUUUACAGACAUGAGAAUAGACAAUUACCCAUCAUUAGAAACAAUGCCACAAUAACCUAGGUUUUGUCCUCCUCUUCAGAAAUUAGAAUAGCAUCCAUAUGAUUAUGAAUAAACACCUUUUAUGUACAAGCACUGGAAAAUCACAUUUUAACCUUCAACACAAGACCAUGGAAAGAUGUUUUAAAUAUUCCAAGUAUUAUUCAGCAAACAUUUAUUGAAAUGAGCCAUGAGCCUGGCACUGUUCUAGGCUCUUGGGAUAAAAAGGUGAAUAAUACAGAGCCUUUGACUAAAAGAACUCACAGU